CACAGGGCAAAGCCGCCUCAGCCUCUUGGGUAAAUUCCCCACACCUUCCCAGCGGAGAGAGCAGCAUGGAUCCCCCUGGGGACAGGAAUAAACUGUGUCCUUGUAGAAAAAGCAAUCCUCUUCCCAGCAGUGAGAAUGUCCUAGAUCUCCCUGCACCCACAACAGCCCCUUGACCCCAAGACCUGUGGCUCCAUUGUCAUGGAGCCUGGGCAAUGGCUCCAGGACAGUGUCCAGGGUCGCCAGGACUGAAGGGACACCUCAACAGAAUCCAGUUUUAGGGCGUUUCAGUGUUAAUAAGGUUUUCUCCAGUGCCAGGACUACAGGAAUUGCAUUCUCUCCACAAUUUAUUUUAGUUAUAAUUAAAUAAUACAGCAUUAGGGAGCACCAAAGGAAUCUCGAGGGGAAGGAAGAGGAAAGAUGCUGAAAUUGGGUCAUUCCCAAGGCUUUGUGUUUGCGAGGUCCACUGACUCAUUGGAGAAAGGGCUGUGGCAUGGAUGGAUGCUGUGCACGGGCAGAGCUCCUGCACAUGGCAAUGAACUGCAGGUCAGCUCCCUCAUAUUUGUCCGAUGGGGAGUAAGGCUGAAAAUAUUUCUAAACUCGUUUUCUUUUUCCUCUGGAGGGAGAUAAGAGUAAACAUGAAUCAUUCUCCGAAAAGUUUGAGAAGCAUGUUGUUCCAAGAAGAAAUAUGUAAUUUUUCUUUUUACAGUAACAAGUUCGCAGGAAACUUCAGGAGGCUUUUACAAAGGCUUGUAACCACUUUGAAGCUGGAGACUUUUUAUAUACGUAUAGCACUUGUGUAACGAGGUCUUAACUGUGAAUGAGAUUCCUGGGUGCAGUUGCAAUAAAGUGAUUAAUAGUAUCAUUCAUGGUAUCAUACCUCAUUCAUAGGUUUCCUGUAAGUAAAGAGGAAUACAUUGGCAGGAAUACAGUGGUUGUGACUUUAAACACGAUACUCUUGGGGGGAAAGUUACAGCAAACACGUGCACUGAAGGGCAAUGCAACUGGUAAAGCUACGAAAAUGGCUCCAGAAAAUAAUUUUUAGAUUAAAAAUCAGGGGGAAAAAACCACACAGAGAGGUAGCUCUAGACAGGUCUGUGGCACAGAGAAAGCAAGGUGAGUAUUACCACACAGCUUGUGAAACCAAAAACAGAAAAUAAGGAGACGUGUCUAUCAAAGGAAUGGGUCAGGGGUGAUCACUGUUUAUUCAGAAACAAACACUAAGGAGUCGGGUUUAUUUGUUUGGGGUUUUUUGCAGUCUGGAGACAGAAAGGCCUGAUUUUGUUACCAAAAUGUUUAUCACUAAAGUGUUUGUCACUGCUGCUUGUGGCACAUAUCCCUGAGAAGGCCAUGGAGGAUGCAAAAGGGAAUGCAGAACAGUCAUCAAAGGAGAAGUAAAUGUCGUGGCUGUGGGCUACAGCAGCUCAGGAUGCAUUUGGAGCCUCAACAGAAGUGACAAAUAAUGGGUCAAUAUUUCCUAUAAAGCUGCUUAUUUCAUUUGAAAGCAAAUAACGGGUCAAUAUUUCUGGUUUUUUCAUUUGAGGAAUAAGUUGUUAAACAGCUACCAAGUGACUGAAGUAUGGAGAAGGGUGUCGGGUGAUAAAAUAUGACCCGGUGUUUCACUGUACCAAGAUCCCCACGAUCAGCUAAAACAAGACAUUUAACUCGAUCCAAGAGGACAUCAGCCCUCGGGAGCAGGCAGGGUGACCAGCACAGCGGUCACUUGGGCCGCCUCCCUGCCCAGGCUCAAACACUCCCUGGCCGGCACUGCUCCUAUUUUUAAAUCUCUGCGCUAUGAAAAGCCCCGUUUCACAGCACCUGAAUUGGUGCCGGGAGUGUGUUUAUCACGCAGCUGUCAUCGCUUUUGAGGAAACAGGCCCAGGGCACUGCGGAUGUUGUCCUAAAGCCACCCGAGGAGACAGGCACGACGUGGCCUUUUGCACCAGGGCAGCUUCUGCUGUGUGGCACAGGCAAUGCUGCACAGAGCAAACUGACCCACCAGAGCUGGAACCAAGGCCUUUUUGCCCAGGGGGGAAUGAUACACUGAAUUUUCAGUUACUGAAUAUCAGUCUGUCUUGCUUACAUUGUUUCACAGGAAGGUGUUUACCGGUUUGAAAAGGUAAAAAUGUUCCCUCUACUUGCAACAGGAAAGCCCAGGAGUGAGUAUUGUCGCUGGAGAUAAUGUUACAGCCUUAGCAACGUGACACUUUAAAACUUCAUCAGCCUCCAAGAAUUUCAGAAAUAGCAAUGAAUGAAGGUAGCAAGUGUUAAGAGCAGGCAGUGCUUGCAAGAAGUGCCCUUACCAGCAGCGUUUUCAAGAGCUGUUUUCUGUUCCAGUUAUCACUAGAGCAGCACAACUCAGACCGCUUUUAAAUAAUUAUACUUAACAGUUAAAAAACCCUCCUGUGCUAAAAUAAAUUUUAGCUAAGAUGGUUUUAUGCUUUGCAGCCUCAUAUGACACUCAAUCUUUCUCGUGUGACUGUUGUAACGAGUCAAAUUCGUGUAUUUUGAUACUGUGCAUGUGAUAAAGAUGCUUGGAUCACUUAAGGCUGUACAAAACUGCAGUGCUCGCAUGUCAUUUAUCUUAAAAUCCUAUUGUAGUGCUCGUGAAACGUAAUUUCUUCAUUGAAUGGGAAUUUAUACUGACAGAGGUGUUAUAAAACAUGGAAAAUACUGCGGGGAGGGGGCCCAACGUUUUCUUUAUCUCUUCAAGUGUUCACUAACAGGGAUUUAUUUUUCAACUCGGCGUUGGUUCAUUGCAGGUUACAGAGCUCUGGUGCAAUUACAGGGACCCGUUUUCAGCCUUCUUAAGCAAAAUUCACAUUACUUGCAACAGGUUGGAAAUGUGUGUUGCGGCCUUGAGGCAGCAAACUGGUUCACAGGGUGCAGUUUCCAUAUUGGUUCCUAAAGCUGCUUGUAGGAAAUCACCCAGCCUGAAGGAACUCCUGGGAUCCCAGCCUCUGCCUUCCAGUUUCAAAAUGCAUGGGUAAGAAAAACCAAUUUAUAUUCAUAACCUUGAGUAAAUAAACUGUCACUUUAACUACACAUUUUAUUGUAAUUAAGCACUUCCCAGUAAUAACCAACCCACACUAUGAAGCUGUUUCUUAAUAUAACAGUAAGGCAAGUUCUAGGCUAUGAGCAGAAUUAGGAAGAUUUUUAAAAGCACAGACCAGUUGAUAUAACAGGGCAAUGUCACGCAGUUCUCAGCAUGUACAGAAAAGGUAGUUUUGCUAAGGAGCUUUAUCCUUAUUUUCAAGAAAUGCCAUUGCUGUGUGAUCAGCAAAAUCAAAUCUCACCUGUGGAAUUUCCCAUUAGGAUUUAUACCCAGUAUUAGCUUGACUCUGCUCCCGGUGGCUUUGCCUAACUCCAAAGGGAAGAGACCUAAGGCAGAUUUAGACCUUCCCCAGCUUUCUAAGGACCCGCUGCUGUCACCUCUCCAUAAUGCAGCUACAAUUAACUUAGCUGGAAUUUCUAUAUUUGAAGCAGCUCUAAAUUAGAGCCUGGACUUCCAGACAUGGAUGCAGAUAGUCUCUGCUACUGUCUGUACGAGCCCUUGGGUUUCACACUAAAAAAGCCCACCCAUGUUGACAAAUUUGCCCUUUGCAGUCUGGCUUCAGUGCAGCCGGUAAAAAUAGCGAGUGAUGCAGCAGACAGAAUGGGCCCUAAACUAUAUUUUUUGAUAGCUUUUCUUAGCUCCAGACUAAAGAGCAAGGCAUCAGAUGUUGACAGAUUAGCAGGGAAUAUACCGAGCAAAGGAAUCUGUUACUGAAAUGCCCACAGUCCAGCGGUUUUGCUGUCCUCCAGAAUUUGAACUUCUCCCUUGGUUUUCAGUUGUAUUUUGAUUAAAGCAUAAAUACCAGCAACUGGCACAUGUCAGCCGACAUCAGAGCUAUGUGCCAAAGCUUUCUUCAGGUCGGAGCUUUAGUGACACUUUACUCAUCCGUGGAUUUUGUUAGGACUUCUGGGGCAUAGCUCAUUAUUUUUACGACUGUAACCAGCAGUCGUUGGAUAAUUAUUUCCCUUUAAAUCCAGGAGAACUCGUCUGGCCUUUUGGGUGGGGAACUUAAUGGCAAGAAGUCUCUGGAGGACGGUUGACGCUGGGUGGUAGUUGUACCAUGGGCAUGUUACCCGCCCCCAAAAAGGAGAAUCCAGGCUCUAAUCCAUACCCCCAAGUCGUGCCAGCUUGCCGGGUACCAAAGCACACCCACACUCGAGCUGGAGACUCCUGUGUUCAGACAAGGAGGAUUAGGGACAUCAUGUGACUAAUUCUGCAAUGACGGUAUAUGCUUAAUUGGUAAAGGACUGUGUUUUCUAUCCUUUUUAAACCCAGGUCAUAGUGUCAAAAGUCUGGCUGACGUUUGAGGUUCCUUUCAGGUAUUUUCUUCAUUGAGAUUCACUGUAUUUAAAGUUACUGUGGUUGCCAGCUUUGUCUUAUGCCCUCAAGCGCUACUAUGCCUUUUAGUCAUAAGAAACCAGCAUUUAAAUUCCCCUGAAACGCCAGGCUGUGCUACUUUUGCAGCCCGCAGAGGGCCUUCCCUCAACCACAGUACAAAAACUCUGACUGUUGCAAAAGCCAGUGGCCAGGAGUCAGGAAAAGCACAGAAUAUACAUAUAUAUAUGUAUAUAUGUAUGUAAAAGCAGACUAUAGUCCUAAACUUUAGACACGUCUUGCUUUUAUGCUCUCUGCUUCAGAUUCCCUGUAACAUAUAAAUACAGCAUUGUUGAUGCUUAGCUCAUAAAAUAUAAAUACUCCCUAACUUCCAGGAGAGUGCGUUGCAGCCAGUUGAAGUCAAUGCAUCUUUAAUUUGGUGGAAGGAAGAUGUUCCUACCAGGUGAUUGUAGUCAACCAUUCAAAGAGUUUACCAAGGGCCACGGCAUCAAAAUUCCUUCUAUUUAAGACUACCUGAUUGCCUGUCAGGAAAAUGUGUUCCUGAGUUGGUGUAGCAACACUGGAAUCGCUUUUUGGUGACAACUCUGUGGACUGACAGCCUCUAGUAAUGUCAAUCUAUUAAUCUUUUGCUCUGUGCCAUAAAGUAUUCUGUCCUCCUUCCGUUAAAAGCUGAAAGUAAGUAAAUACAGGUCUCAUCAUGAGAUCAUUUUGCUUGCGUUCAGGUUGUCUACAAAGCCUCUACUUGAGGUGGACAAGCAGAAGGGCAAAAGAAGAUCUUUCCAUCCUUGGCAUAAGGCCAGCCAAGGUGUGACACUGUGAGCCUGGGGCUCGGGAGCUGCAGAGCUGCCCUGGUCAUUCUGCUUUGCUGUGCACAACAGCCAGUGUUGCUGACACUGUCUGGGGGAAGGGCAAGGUGUUAAACUUACUCUGAGCUUGGAGUGGUUUUGGACCAGGUCAGGCCAGCCUUAAGUGCUGCACGCCUUUGGGUGGCUGCCAGCAGAUCCUGUGGGGUUUUGUAACACCUAAAAAAAGAGCCUGGGAAUACAACAGCUCUUGAGUUUGCAGAGUGAGAAGAGCCCUUAGACUGUUUCCCAACCUUGUCUGCUUAAGUUACCAUCCUGUGUAAAAGAAGAUAGUAAUUAUUUACUCACAUUGUCUUCAACUGUUGAUGUUUUACCUGGAAAUGCAAUGCAGGUCUUUUAAAGCACAUAUGGUGGCUACAGCAGCCUAGAGCCAAAGCCUGUCAUCUCUCCAGCUCCCUUGCCUUCCUCUCUCCCCAGGUGUUUAGUUGGCAGAAGGACUUCUUUCAAAUUCUGGUAUUUUAUUUAAAAACAUAGACUCAGUUUAAACUCAGAGGUUUUAAACUGGUUGCAAUUAAACUUUAACAACGGGAAGGUUCUUAGGGAGGUGCUGUGUCCCUUUGAAAUGGCUUUUUGAAGAAAAGCAUCUGUAUCCCUCCUGCAGCCAGCUGGACUGCACUGCAGGGUUAACUUUCACUGUUACCUGUGGCCUUGUGCCUCCUGACACACUCAAGGCAUGUAUGGAAGGACCAAUAAAACAUGUCCUGGAGUGUUAGGUGUAUUUUUAGAGUUUGUCCCAGAUUACUGGCCUUUGUCCCAGAUUUCAGUGGUUAGGGUGUAAGAAUGCCCGGUGGGGCUGAGUGCUUCCUGCAUUGCUCUCAGGAAGGCUUUAAUCAGGAAAAAUACCCUCUCAGAGAAGGCAAAUAAUUAAGUUUUUGUGGCAUAUACUCUACUGCCAUUAGCAGGAGAUGAUAAACACUCAAGACCACAGUUUAAAUAGAGCGAGGCAGAUGCACUAAGCUUUAAAGUGCAACAUUAUUGUGUUACGUGGUAUUGAGUAAUGAAUUGGACAUUACUAACAAGGCAGUUUUCCUUUUGUCUUAUUGGGACCAGAAUUUGUUUUUACACCAUAAAGUGUCUGCCUUUGCUGCUCAUCAUGGGAAAAUGCUGAUGUAAACCACCUGGAGGAAGCUCAUCCCACAUGCUGGCAGCUGGCAAUGUGCAAGUGGGGAGCUAAUGUUGGAAGGGAUCUUCAGGUGUCAUGCUGUCCAUUCUCCUCCCUUUGGCAGUGUUUAAUUGACCUAUGGCAUUCCUGAUAAAUGCUCAUUCUACCUCUUCCUGCAGUGCUCCAGGCUCACAGGCAUGAUGAGUUUAGCCUGACAGAACUCCUUCCCUCCUGUAUAACCUCAGCCUUUCCUGAUGUAGUUUGGUCCUUACUGAGUAUUUGGGGGAAUGAUUCCUCCUUUUAUCUCUUCUUCAGCUUUUAGCCACUGGAAGAUCAUCUCUCCUCAGCCUGCCAAAGCCAGAACACCUUAUUUGUCCCUUCCUGACAUUUCUAGUUGUUCAGCACGACACUCACUCCAUCCCUUGGACUGCUUAGCCAUAUCUCAGGGGCUAAAUUCCUUUGCUGAAGUCCUGGACUCCCCAUGCCAAUAUCACUGGCAUCUACUCCUCGGCUCUGGGGAAAUUCUCUGGAUUCAGCUCUCCCAGUUAUUUUGAAGGUCUUUGGGAUGUUGAGGAGCUACCAGAUGGACCCAUCCAAGCAGUUUUCUUCCCUCUUGGUCUUGCCUCCUUACCUUCCUACCAACUGCUUCUUGCCCAGCUGCCCUAAUGCACUUUAUCAGACUAUUUCUUCAGCCUCAUGGCAUAGGACAUAGCACAUGUAACAAAUACUAAGUAUAAAAACUAUUCUGUUAAGAAUCUAGUCACUGGUCCAUCAGUUUUGUAGGGAGAUGGGAGUGACACAGCACCAGGACAGAGGCAGAUAAAGUUCUCCUGUACUCACUCAUGCCUGUGAGAACCUGCUCUCCUUCCCAGAGCUCUCCAGUAUUCAACUCUUGGACAUUUUGGCAUAUUAUCAGUGAUAAAUGUAUUCACAAGUGAGAGCAGACAGCCCUGCAGGUUGUGAUGCCAGGGUAUUGUGGGUUCUUGGCAUCAGCAGUGCCUGUCUGUGGAUUUCAGACGAAUGAAACAGAAAUAUUUUUAUAGUCAGCCUCAAGUUUUUAUCUAUUUGUGGGUGUCUUGGUGUCCCCUAAAUAGGGAUUAGGUCCUUUGGCAGGAAGACUGUACUUUAUGUCUUGACUUUCCUGGCCCCAUAUCCUCCCAACCUUCUCUUUCUCCUGAAGGCCACUGAGCUUUAUUUUUGCUACCAAAUGCCACUCAUUUGUAUUGAGAAACAGGUUCCAGCAGCAGGGAAAUUAUCAAUAAUCCAGUUGGUGUAGCAAUCUGUUUCUCAUUUCUUGUGACCUAUCCUGCUGUGGGAUGAUGCACCCACAAUAAUUAUUACUGUUAAUUAUUCACCUACAAUAGUUUAAAUGCUUGCAAGUGCCUACUGACAUCAGAUGUGAAAAGAAUUCAAUAAUAAUGGAGGGAGAAGAAAGAUUUUUAAAAAACGAGGAUGACAUGAGACAAGGAUGAGAAGGGUGAAGGAUAUAUGGCAGAGGUACUGGUUGGGGGUAUUCUGGUGGCCUGGGUUCCAGCUCAAGCUUCUGCAGGAUCUCUGAUAGGCUUUGCUUUACUUAUCUCUUAAGUCGGGAUCAGAAUAGGAACAACGGACUUUAUCCACAGAAGUAAUUAAAAUGUUGCACUCCCUGGCAGCAGAGUUAAAAUCAAUUUCUCUAAUACAAGAUGAAGAGCAAUUGGCCAGGCUGCUGCCAUGUGGAAAAAGAUCUGGGACUGUGAUGCUUGGGAGUGCAGCAGAAACCCAGUGCUGCAAAAAUCCAGCAGUUCUCCUGGGAUGUCUGUUGCGAGGGGCACACUGGCAUGGGUCAAUCUUUCCAUUCAGCUUGGCAACGGCAGGAUCUUGGCUCAAGAACAAUUUCCUCACCUCAGGAAACAUAUGGCUCAGCUGGGGAAAGCCCAAGGGGGUGCAUAAAAAGUGACUGGAGGUGUAGGAAACCUGCCUUUGAGGUAAAGCGGAGAGAGAGAAGUGUGUGGUCUGAACAGGGGACUGAACUGAGACAAAACAAAUUGUCAAAUACAUGCAAGGCUGAUGCAAAGAGGAGUGGCACAAUGUGUCCUUUUACCUUCUGCAAGUAGGGUGAGUAAUGGGCUUCAACUCCAGCAGGAACAACACAGGUAAAUGAUCAGGAAAAAUUUUCCGGUGCUGUGGCUGUUGUAGAAUUGGCACUGCAGGAAUUUGUUAGCCAAAGCUCUUGCAGGAGUGGUUGAGGUAUUGUUGAUUGUACUGGGAACCUCUUAGAGGGGUUUAUCCAACUGUUGUUUUUUUUUUAUUUUCUCCAGUUGCCACUGAAUCACUGGAAUUCAGCACUGCAGCAUUUGGGAACACCUGCCACAAUAGCACCUGCCUGUUUGUAAUCAAGAGGAUUGCAAAGCAAUCACAUGCAUAUUUAGCUGAUGUGCAGCUCCCAGGAUUGAUGGUGCACAGAAACAAGCUAAGAAAUACGUGUGCUGUAACUGUGGAAGUUGGUUAUUCUGGAGCACUGAAAAUCCAGCUUUUCUUUGACAAGGAGAUGCUGCACGUGAGAAAUAUCGCAGGUUAUAUUUAGUGUUACAGAGGCACAAAGGAAAUCUCAUUAGAACCCACUGACAGUGAUCUGUUGAAAAGGGAAUAGGAGCGAUUUGUGAGCUCGUGGAAAAACUGUGCAUCUCUGUUCUGCCCUGUCCUCACUGUCUGCUGCUACUCUAGGACACAGACUUCUUGAGAGAAGGAUCUGUGCCUGCUUGCUCAGUUAGCUCUGAUACAUCAUAUUUUAUUUGCUGGGAGACUUGAACAAUGAGCAACAAACACUCCUGCUCCUAUUUUAAACACAUUGAAACUGCAGUACAGAGUAAUAUAAUGACUUGCUCAGAGUCACAGAGCAAUUUUGUGGCAGGGCUUGGAUCAAAAUCCAGCUCCCUUGCUCCCAAACCCAUGUGCCAGCCUUUCUCUUCAUUGACCCUUAAUUUUAAUCACCUACCAAGAAAUUCUGUUGGCCUCUUCCAGCUGACUUCCAUGGGAGUAAUGCCAGGUAUCAAAUGAAGUCACUGGGAAUAUCAAUGCAACAGAAGCCAAUAUUCGAUGCAAAGAAAGAACUGAUGGAAGGGGAAAAAAUAGAUUUUACCAAAAAAAAAAAAAAAACACCAGAAAAAAAGGAAUAAGUUCUAAUGCCGUUUCCAUAAUAUCAUUCCCCUUUUAACUUGUGCCUGGUCAAAAUUAAAAAAAAAUAGAUUGCUAAUAUUAAUAGAUGAAAUGAAUCUUGAAUUUUAUAAUAGUGGAGGAAAUGAAAGGAACAAAGUAAUAUUGUGUUGUUAACUGAGAUUUUAAUAAUGAUUCUGUCCUCAGUUGGUGCAUUUAUUCCACAGAAAGUAAAUCAUUAAUGAAGAGGAGGGGAAAACAGUUUUGUGGUGAUGGAUUUUUGAAAGAAAAGUUUAAUUUUGCUAAACUUCCAGAAACUCUGAAAUGUGUCUGGAGCUCUAAAACUAAAACACCAACACCUCAAAAACAGCUGAUAAAAGUGGGAUUUAGCCAAGUGGUUAACAUUGCCUGGGGAGUGGUGGAGGAUGUCCGUGGCUGCUCUCCAAGAGAGCUGAGGAUUACAAAUCUUCAUCAAAGGCAAGAAGAAUUGUCUGAGGAAUAGGGACUUCUAGGUCCAGUGAGUGCAUGGUCUGCCAGAAAGGAAGAAACUGAGUGAAAUCUUUGCAACAAAUAAUGCUAUUAUGGAUGUGUACUUGCACAGAAAGCCAGCAAAAGGGCACUGCAGCACCUCAGCUGUGUUUUGGUGGUAUCACUGACACUGAGAGUCACACAGCUUUGUGCUCAAAGGAAGAGAUGAAUCACCGUGGACUCCAUCGACAGUAUUGACUGGCUCUCUGUUGACUGGUGAGGGAGCCACGAGUGACUCCCUCAAGUGUAGAUUUCUGCUUUAGUUGGGUGAACCUACCGAGAGCUUCGUGCCCAUACUGUAAGACUCGGAUGCUCUGAGCAGCCCAGACUGUGGCAUUUCAGUCAAUAACUUCUAUGGCAAGCGACACCCAUCAGGAGGAGUUUGCAAUGUAAGUGGACGAAAGAAAUAGCAGGUGAGAAACAGAAAUUCCCUGUG